UCCGCUUUCGAUCCCUUUCCCUGUUAGCUCCCUCGCCCUCCAGGCUCCAGCCGUCCCCAUCUCCCACUUCUCUCCUCUAGCGGCCUGGACGGUGGUUCACGGCGGCGCGGCUCAGUGGUCAGGAGGCGCAGCGGUUGCGGCCUUGGCCUGCUUGGAGCACACGAACCAGUGGCGGCACAGGCGCCAUUGCUUUAGUGAGCGCGGGCCUCGUCGCUGGGGAGCCGGCGAGCCUGCGAUCAACGAGGCAGUGUACGAAGUGGUGUUGCGGCAGAUCGAACUGAAGGAGGAUCUUCAGUGGAGGAUAUCGUGCUACUUGAGCGUUUUCCCCUCUAUUUGCAUCAGAUAAGGAGAUCUGCUAGCUGUAGAUGUGGAGAUACGAUUACUGGACCAGAAGCUCCAUUAAACCGCUGGAUUAAAGAUUAUGAAGGUCCAGAUGGAUUUUUAGCGACAUUUUGGGCAGUCUUCUCAUCCUCUAGGUGUAUCAUGAUGUUUUAGUCUCUUUCUGGGCAGUCAUGUGCUUGUAUUUGCUACUCAUUCAGGUGAUCUCAAAUUAGAUUAUGUUUCCAUUGGUAUGCAAGGUUUUUUCUUGGAGCCAGAUGCAUGUGUACUAACCCAAAAUCAUUUCUUCUCUGAAACCGGUAGGAGAUUUUAUCUGGUGCUCCUGUAUGUCAUCAGAUACUUUCCUAUGUUCGUUGGUUUACACUUAUUGUUAUUUUUGUGUGCAACGGGUCUUCUAGCUUACUCAAGCAUUUUCUUUGUGCAGACCUAGCUGUGCUCCUUGAGUUUCUACCUUGGUGCAUUCGAGUCGUCAAUUUUGGACAACCCAACAGAUAAAUCUAUAGGUAUUGUAUGUGUAAGCUUACACAUUAUUCUAUGGCCUAUUUUUUCUUUCUGCAGGCCAAUUUCAAACCUCCAACAAGGUUCCAUGUUUUGAUGUCAUGGAAUUCUUGAACAACAUGGAUUUGCAAGGAAUCGGUUUUGGACAAUUGAUGAUAAUCCACCUCCUUCGCUACUAAAUUAUGCAAUUAAAGCUUCUGUGAUCUUAUUCUGAAGCCCAUUGAAGAUGAAUUAAAGAUGUGGCCACACAGGUUGAAUGCAGCAUGGCAAUACUUCCUCUCUGGAUACUCACUUUUUUCCCCUGUUUCUUAUCACCCUGUUCUUCCCAGGUGGUUCCAACAGAUUCGUACUACCCAUGUGCUGUGACAAAGCUUAGGCUAGACAUCACUAGAUUGUAGUCCACGAGGACUCUCUCAUGAUACUGCCCAAGGAUCUUUUGCUUGGUAGUUAAAGGUGAGCUUGCCUGAUGCAUAUUAUUCUCUUCUAUUUAGCACUGUCAAUGCAUAUUGUUCUUUUAGUCAUCCAUGACAUUAUCCUGCUUUUUACAACAAAAGAAAAAUUACCUGCCUUGAUUUGUGUUUGGUAAGAAGAUCUGGUUGACACUUAAUCUAUUAUGGUAUACACUAUACCUGAGAUUAAAUCUAAUAUGCUCUCUUAGAAAAUCCUUCCUUUUUCAUUCUCAGCUGAACAUUAUUAUUGUUUUGAAGCUAAUUACCUCAUUUCUCUGCAUGAUCAUCGACAUUCCUGAUAUGUAAUCUGCCUGAGCAACACACUAACCCAAGGGAAUGACCAGCAUGUUAUCUAUAUGUCAUUGGAUCUAAAGAUUACACUUAUUCGCCCUGUUUGACUUAUUUGUGAAACUUCAUGACGUUCCUAAUCUUUCUCUUAAUAUGAUAUAAAUCAUUACUACCUGAAUGAUUUAGUGUUGU